rnacentral:rRNA from 1 species
GACAAGUAAGUGGCGCACGGGUGAGUAACACGUAGGUAAUCUACCUUCGGGUGGGGAAUAACAACCGGAAACGGUUGCUAAUACCGCAUAAUGCAGCGGCACCUAAUGGUGACAGUUGUUAAAGCGGGGGAUCGCAAGAUCUCGCGCCUGAAGAGGAGCCUGCGGCGGAUUAGCUAGUUGGUAGGGUAAUGGCCUACCAAGGCGACGAUCCGUAGCCGGCCUGAGAGGGCGGUCGGCCACACUGACACUGACAUACGGGUCAGACUCCUACGGGAGGCAGCAGUCGGGAAUUUUGGGCAAUGGGCGAAAGCCUGACCCAGCAACGCCGCGUGAAGGAUGAAAUCCCUCGGGAUGUAAACUUCGCAAGAACGGGAAGAAUAAGUUUGUGCUAAUACCACAAGCGAUGACGGUACUGUUUGUAAGCUCCGGCUAACUCCGUGCCAGCAGCCGCGGUAAUACGGGGGGAGCAAGCGUUGUUCGGAUUUACUGGGCGUAAAGGGCGCGUAGGCGGCCUCCGCAAGUCAGUUGUGAAAUCUCCGAGCUUAACUCGGAAAGGUCAACUGAUACUGCGG